AGUCUGGUGCCAGCACCCGCGGUAAUUCCAGCUCCAAUAGCGUAUAUUAAAGUUGUUGCAGUUAAAAAGCUCGUAGUUGAAUUUUGGGCCGGGCCGGGCGGUCGCUCGCAAGGGUUGCACUGCCUGUGCCUGGCCUUUCCUUCUAGGGAUCCCGCGUGCUCUUAGUUGAGUGCGUGGGGGAACUAGGACCUUUACUUUGAAAAAAUUAGAGUGUUUAAAGCAGGCCUUUGCUUGAAUACUUCAGCAUGGAAUAAUAGAAUAGGACUUUGGCCCUAUUUUGUUGGUUUCUAGGACCGAAGUAAUGAUUAAUAGGGAUAGUUGGGGGCAUUAGUAUUUAAUUGUCAGAGGUGAAAUUCUUGGAUUUAUGAAAGACUAACUUCUGCGAAAGCAUCUGCCAAGGAUGUUUUCAUUAAUCAAGAACGAAAGUUAGGGGAUCGAAGACGAUUAGAUACCGUCGUAGUCUUAACCAUAAACUAUGCCGACUCGGGAUCGGGCGAUGUUAUUCAUGACUCGCUCGGCACCGUAUGAGAAAUCAAAGUUUUUGGGUUCUGGGGGGAGUAUGGUCGCAAGGCUGAAACUUAAAGGAAUUGACGGAAGGGCACCACCAGGAGUGGAGCCUGCGGCUUAAUUUGACCCAACACGGGGAAACUCACCAGGUCCAGACAUGAUAAGGAUUGACAGAUUGAGAGCUCUUUCUUGAUUUUAUGGGUGGUGGUGCAUGGCCGUUCUUAGUUGGUGGAGUGAUUUGUCUGGUUUAUUCCGAUAACGAACGAGACCUUAACCUGCUAAAUAGUCACCUGAACCUUGUGUUCGGGGCCGACUUCUUAGAGGGACUGUGGACGUGAAGUCCACGGAAGUUUGAGGCAAUAACAGGUCUGUGAUGCCCUUAGAUGUUCUGGGCCGCACGCGCGCUACACUGACGAACUCAGCGAGUUUAUAACCUUGGCCGGAAGGUCUGGGUAAUCUUGUGAAAGUUCGUCGUGAUGGGGAUAGUCCCUUGCAAUUAUUGGACUUCAACGAGGAAUUCCUAGUAAGUGCGAGUCAUCAGCUCGCGUUGAUUACGUCCCUGCCCUUUGUACACACCGCCCGUCGCUACUACCGAUUGAAUGGCUUAGUGAGGCCUCCGGAUUGACGUCAGGAGCCUAGCAAUAGGCACCUGUCGCCGAGAAGCUGGUCAAACUUGGUCAUUUAGAGGAAGUAAAAGUC
rnacentral:rRNA from 1 species